rnacentral:misc_RNA from 1 species
CCUAAGAGAUACGUGUUAUGUGAAGUGCUCACACAGAUUGUCUGAUGAAGAACGAGCAAAAGCGCGUCUGCGAAGCUGACAGAAGUCCCCUUCGUCUAGAGGCCUAGGACACCGCCCUUUCACGGCGGUAACAGGGGUUCGAAUCCCCUAGGGGACGCCAAUGCGCGGUAUGAGUGAAAGGCGUACCACUUAUCUGACGAGAGUCAGAGAAUAACUAAGCUAAUUCAAACGAGUUAUCUUAUUUAUUAUGCUCUUUAACAAUCUGGAACAAGCUGAAAAAUUGAAAACAAAUCAAUAUAUCACCGAGGUAUAUUGGUGAGUCUCUCAAAAUCUCAAACCUUAAAGUUUGUCACACAAAGUUUAUCUUUGAAAAAGACACUUUCGGGUUGUGA